GUAGGGUGCGAGCGUUAAUCGGAAUUACUGGGCGUAAAGCGUGCGCAGGCGGUUAUGCAAGACAGAUGUGAAAUCCCCGGGCUCAACCUGGGAACUGCAUUUGUGACUGCAUAGCUAGAGUACGGUAGAGGGGGAUGGAAUUCCGCGUGUAGCAGUGAAAUGCGUAGAUAUGCGGAGGAACACCGAUGGCGAAGGCAAUCCCCUGGACCUGUACUGACGCUCAUGCACGAAAGCGUGGGGAGCAAACAGGAUUAGAUACCCUGGUAGUCCACGCCGUAAACUAUGGAAGCUAGCCGUUGGGAGGUUUACCUCUCAGUGGCGCAGCUAACGCAUUAAGCUUCCCGCCUGGGGAGUACGGUCGCAAGAUUA
rnacentral:rRNA from 1 species